rnacentral:rRNA from 1 species
CAAUAGGUAUGCUUAGGGAGGAGCUUGCGUCACAUUAGUUAGUUGGUGGGGUAAAGGCCUACCAAGACUAUGAUGUGUAGCCGGGCUGAGAGGUUGAACGGCCACAUUGGGACUGAGACACGGCCCAAACUCCUACGGGAGGCAGCAGUAGGGAAUUUUCGGCAAUGGAGGAAACUCUGACCGAGCAACGCCGCGUGAACGAUGAAGUAUUUCGGUACGUAAAGUUCUUUUAUUAGGGAAGAAUAAAUGAUGGAAAAAUCAUUCUGACGGUACCUAAUGAAUAAGCCCCGGCUAACUAUGUGCCAGCAGCCGCGGUAAUACAUAGGGGGCAAGCGUUAUCCGGAAUUAUUGGGCGUAAAGGGUGCGUAGGCGGUUAAAUAAGUUUAUGGUCUAAGUGCAAUGCUCAACAUUGUGAUGCUAUAAAAACUGUUUAGCUAGAGUAAGAUAGAGGCAAGUGGAAUUCCAUGUGUAGUGGUAAAAUGCGUAAAUAUAUGGAGGAACACCAGUAGCGAAGGCGGCUUGCUGGGUCUUUACUGACGCUGAGGCACGAAAGCGUGGGGAGCAAACAGGAUUAGAUACCCUGGUAGUCCACGCCGUAAACGAUGAGUACUAAACGUUGGGUAAAACCAGUGUUGAAGUUAACACAUUAAGUACUCCGCCUGAGUAGUACGUACGCAAGUAUGAAACUUAAAGGAAUUGACGGGACUCCGCACAAGCGGUGGAUCAUGUUGUUUAAUUCGAAGGUACCCGAAAAACCUUACCAGGUCUUGACAUGCUUCUGCAAAGCUGUAGAAACACAGUGGAGGUUAUCAGUUGCACAGGUGGUGCAUGGUUGUCGUCAGCUCGUGUCGUGAGAUGUUGGGUUAAGUCCCGCAACGAGCGCAACCCUUAUUGUUAGUUACCAGCACGUAAUGGUGGGGACUUUAGCAAGACUGCCAGUGAUAAAUUGGAGGAAGGUGGGGACGACGUCAAAUCAUCAUGCCCCUUAUGACCUGGGCUACAAACGUGAUACAAUGGCUGUUACAAAGGGUAGCUGAAGCGCAAGUUUUUGGCGAAUCUCAAAAAAACAGUCUCAGUUCGGAUUGAAGUCUGCAACUCGACUUCAUGAAGUGGAAUCGCUAGUAAUCGCGAAUC